UAAAAGCUAAAACCCUCCCCCUUUUUCCCUUUUGUUUUGAAGCCAACCUUUUCUUGUCAUUGAAUCCUCUGUAAAGAGCCUGCUGUUUAAUGCUAGCCACAUAAAAAUUUGAUUUUUAAGAUGCGUGGGGCAAAGCCAAAUUUUCUUAUAAAAAGGCCAUCUCACACCUCCACAGUUGAGAAGGUCACAGAGGGAUUUUAUAGUAAAUUUCCCAUCUUUUGACUAUCACCAGCAAAAUUCUAUCCUCAUCUUGAUUUAAUCUUACAUUUUGCAUCUCUUGUGAUAGUUUGACUGCAUCUUUGGCGAGGUUAAUGGGUUAGUUUCUCAUCUCAACAGAUUACUGGGUGAAAUUUCCAUCCUUUAUCUGGUCUAUUAUCUUUUCUACCAGUGCAUGUAGAAAUGUCUCCUUGAUCUUUGUCAGGCGCGUGAGCAAGGAUUUAAGAAUUGUUCAUUGGCCCAGAUCAUGGACUACAUGCAAGUUUUCGACAUCUUGGCCGCGCAAAAGUAGUUCUCGUCUUGUUUGAGAAAACAGUUUGACUAAAACUGAUCUAAGAAUAGCUUUCUCUGAGUUUUUAAGCAAUUUAAAGCUCCACUCUUCAAUAUUAGCACACAUUACCUGGGUAUCAAUUCAUUGAAUUAUCUAGACAAACCAAAACUUACUGAACAUUGUUUAACUACAUAGAGCAACAACACUUUCAUGUUCUGUUGCCGCUGUGAUUUUAUCGAAAUAGUUGGCGCUAGGCAAGUACAGCUAACAUUUUUCUGUUCCUAUGAACAGAAGAAAUGGUAGUUUUAUUAGGGGCUGAGACAUUAGAUCCAUUUAAGAUAAAGUUGUUAAACAAAAGGCGGCAAAAAGAAUGUUAGUAGCAUGCAGCAUGGCAUCUUUACUGUCAACUAGCAACAAGGAUUAAAAUUGCUAAUAGAGUAGGCACAUUCUAGUUUCUACAUGAUUUUUAUUUGCCUUUUCUUCGAGAAUUUCGUAACUUCUACGAGUGGGGAGUAAUUGAUACUCCAGAUUGUUGGAUAUAAAUCUCUUUUCAUUGUAGGUUGGGUCGAGGGCCCCUCUAACCUAGAAUUUCUACAGAAGUGCAGUUUGAAUAGAAAUGUUCUAAAAAGAACUAUCUAAUUAACAUCUUUUUUAUUUUAAUAUCUGCGUAGCUUUGUUCUGCAGCAAAAGAAGCCUAAAUUGGAGCUUCUUGGCAGAUUCUUUUGAGGCCAAGAAACUCUCUUUUUUUUCCCUUCCUGCCGCGACACAGCUUAUAAUUCUUGCUUGCGUAAACACAUUCUUCCUUGAAGAUGAUUACUCAAACCAUAUAAUGACAUAUUUCAUUUACUUAAGCAAACUAGGGAUAACUCAACUUGAACAUCUCUAUGUUACAUUUUAGAACGAUGGCAUCGACGAAUGAAGCUCCGAGCUGGGCAGAUCAGUGGGGUGCAGGCGGAAUAGGAGACAGAGGCGACCCCGACAAAGAGGCCAAAGCAAAAGAGAACGACAAGAAGAGCACGGGAGGCAAUGCAAAGUCUUUGGCCUCAGCGAGCUUCAACAAGGCCAAGGCCGCUGCGAUAACGGGAGCACAGAAGGUGAAGUGUGGGACAAGCACAGGCUUCAAAUGGGUUAAGGCUAAGUGCCAGAAGCCGAGUUCUAAAUGAAUCAAUGAAUGAAUGAUCUCUGUUGCAGAGACUGUCAGAAAAGGAAGACGAAAUGUUCAUGCAGAGAACUGCUUCAUUUCUGAAAUAGAUUGGGAGAAGCUUCGUCCGCGAGAGAGUGUGAUGUAAUGUUGCUAAUCAGAGUGUGUCGCAUAUAACAGUAGAUUUUCUCAGCAAUUAUUUGAUUUGUUUGGGUGUUAUUUAUCUUUCGUUUAAGGGUGAUUGGUUGUGAUUUUGGACUUUGAUUGAGACCUGCUACUAAGAUAUAUAUAAUACUUGAAUGGGAUUGAUGUGCAAAGACUCA
rnacentral:lncRNA from 1 species